rnacentral:rRNA from 1 species
GAUGAACGCUGGCGGCGUGCCUAAUACAUGCAAGUCGAGCGAACAGACGAGGAGCUUGCUCCUCUGACGUUAGCGGCGGACGGGUGAGUAACACGUGGAUAACCUACCUAUAAGACUGGGAUAACUUCGGGAAACCGGAGCUAAUACCGGAUAAUAUAUUGAACCGCAUGGUUCAAUAGUGAAAGACGGUUUUGCUGUCACUUAUAGAUGGAUCCGCGCCGCAUUAGCUAGUUGGUAAGGUAACGGCUUACCAAGGCAACGAUGCGUAGCCGACCUGAGAGGGUGAUCGGCCACACUGGAACUGAGACACGGUCCAGACUCCUACGGGAGGCAGCAGUAGGGAAUCUUCCGCAAAGGGCGAAAGCUUGACGGAGCAACGCCGCGUGAGUGUUGAAGGUCUUCGGAUCGUAAAACUCUGUUAUUAGGGAAGAACAAAUGUGUAAGUAACUAUGCACGUCUUGACGGUACCUAAUCAGAAAGCCACGGCUAACUACGUG